rnacentral:rRNA from 1 species
AGGACGAACGCUGGCGGCGUGCUUAACACAUGCAAGUCGAGCGAGGCCCUUCCUUCGGGAAGGUGCCCUAGCGGCGAACGGGUGAGUAACACGUGGGCAACCUGCCCCUAGCACUGGGAUAACUCCGGGAAACCGGGGCUAAUACCGGAUAUGACCUCGGAAGGCAUCUUCUGAGGUGUAAAGGAUUCUGGCUAGGGAUGGGCCCGCGGCCUAUCAGCUUGUUGGUGGGGUAAUGGCCUACCAAGGCGACGACGGGUAGCCGGCCUGAGAGGGCGACCGGCCACACUGGGGCUGAGACACGGCCCAGACUCCUACGGGAGGCAGCAGUGGGGAAUAUUGCACAAUGGGCGAAAGCCUGAUGCAGCGACGCCGCGUGAGGGAUGACGGCCUUCGGGUUGUAAACCUCUUUCAGCAGGGACGAAGCGAAAGUGACGGUACCUGCAGAAGAAGCACCGGCCAACUACGUGCCAGCAGCCGC